GGGUGCUCCAAGGAGUCGGAGGAACGCGGCCGCGCGACGGGCCCCGGACGCCGAGGGUGGUGCUUCCUCCGAGCCUCCGGUGGUGAGGCCGCUCUCAGAAGGUCAUGGAAGCGCAGGGGAGAGCGAGGCGGCCGAGCCCAGGCAAAUCCUCGAGAAAGGCCGAGUGCGCGACGGCUCUGCGGGGAGGACCGCGCCUCCCCGAAUGCGGCCGCUGCUGCCGCUGCAAACAGUGCCUUGAGGAGAGGAAAGCGGGGAACCGUGUUUUCGCCGCCUCUGUAACCACUGCACACAAGAAAACCAGCUUCUGGGAGAGGGGGAUGAUUGUUGGGACUUUGCGAAUUACCUAAACAGCCCAGGGCCGAGGCGCCGCCGCUCGCGUCCUGGUCCUCCUGCCGGGUGUGGGGCUCCCCUGCCCGAGAUGGCCAGCGGGCGCGCCGAGAGUAUCCUGGAGCCAUCUAGUCUUGCCUCGGAGGCGGGGUGGGCUUAUUUGUGCGGAGAAGAAACGGAUCUCUUAAUGGGGUGAGAUUUUUCCUCCGUACAUUGUUCCCAUUUCCGCAGUUUCACUUGGCCUCGGUUUUCUAGCAGAGUAAUCACCAAAUGAAAUUAGCUGGAGAGCGUUUGAUGGCGCAGAAUCACGGUCUGAAGAUGUUUACGCUGUAUGCCGGACGCGUUUGAUGGUGUUCUCUUCGGCACAAUUAAUUUUGCAAAGUUCAGAAAUGUGCCAGACAGAGCCCCUGGCACGCAGUCAGGACUCUACAGACACACCUUGAGUAGGAAACAGGCUUGUUUGUUUCAUCUGUGAUUUAUGUGAUGCACCAGCACCAAGGCCAACGUGUUUUUUAAAGACCUUUCGAUGAAACUCCAAAGCAAUUUAUAAAUUGGCAAAAUGAAGCUUGUUUUGUAAAAUAACUCUUCCUUGUUGAUCAUGUAAUUAAAUGGGCAACAAAACACCUGAAAGGACAUUUACUGAAAAGUAGACUCCCAAAACAAAAAUAUGUAUUUCACAGCUAGAUACGGUCGCUAUUAGCGUCCUAAUGGCCAACUCCAUCCAUGUGCGUAUUUUGAACACUAAAAACGCCUCCUGUUACCCCUAAGACCUUGUUUGGAUAACAUUUUUCUAUUAUAAGUACUCGAAACCAACCCCAUUUAAGAUGUUUACCCUUAUUCUUGAGUCCUUGAUGGUUUGGGAAAUUUAUCAUUAUUCAUAUUGCACAAUCCUGUCACUGUCUUUUCCAUUAGGCACAGUGCCUAAGGUCCACAAUAUUUUUAGAGGCCCACAAAAAAUAUUUUAAUUUCUUUUCAAAUCAGAAGGAAAAAAAAUUUAGGUUUAAGAAAGUAUUUUAAUAUAUAUUAAUAUAUUUGUUUUUGUGCUAAUACAAUCUUAAAAUGUAUGUAUAUAUGUGUGUGUGUAUAUGUAUAUAUAUUUUAAUGGAGUAAGGGGCUCAACGAAGGCAAAAAGGCCUAGAGCCCAAGAAAAACAUGAUGUGGCCCUGUUGCCUGGGGUUGAAAAAUCCCAUUCCAUGAGAAGAAUUUAGUUUUAAGAAUAUUACAUAAAAUGCUCAUUUCUGUGGCCUUGCUAUAAUAGAAAGAUGGAGAUUCAGAGUAGUGAUAAUGGCUAACAUCCACCUGAUACACACCAUGUGUCCAUUACCUCUUAAUCCUCACAGCACACCUGUGAAAUAGGUACUAUUCUCACACUUAGGGGGUAAUGCAGGUUUUGUGGGGCCUGCAAUUUAUGCAAUUUGGGUGGUCCUCUUAAAGAAAAAGCAAAUACUGUGUAUUAGUCCGUUCUCACACUGCUAUAAAGAACUGCGCGAGACUGGGUAAUUUAUAAAGGAAAGAGGUUUAAUUGACUCACAGUUCCACAUGGCUGGGGAGACCUCAGGAAACUUAACAAUCGUGGUGGAAGGAGAAGCAAGUACCUUCUUCACAAGGAAGCGGAAAGAAUUGUGAGCGGAGGAACUUGCCAAACACAAAACCGUCAGAUCGCGUGAGAAUUCAGUUACUAUCACGAGAACAACACGGGAAAACUGUCCCCAUAAUCAAGUCAUUUCUCUCCCUAACAAGUGAGGAUUACAAUUCAAGAUGAGGUUUGGGUAGGAACACAAAGCCUGACCCUAUCCCACAGCAUGUCCAGGCUGCCCUAGCACCACCCAAUAGAAGGGAAAAUGGCAGAGGGAAAGUCCUAGUGGAAAGAGACCUCAGUCUCAGCUAAUUGUGGUGACAAUAUAUUGCUUUUGCAAAUUGUACAUAAACAUAUGACCAGGUGAAUGUAUCGCCAAGGCUCCUGCCAAGGCCUGGGAUGGAGGCCUAGAGAAGAUGCCCGAAAGUUUAUGCUGUGUGAGCUUCACAGAAGACCUGCCUUCCAUGUAUACCCAUUUUACAGGUGUCUGUGCGGUGCAGAAACUGUACAACUGUAUACAGUGACCAUUUCUACUCUGGGUCUCUAAACAAGGGCUGGUAUCGUUACAGAGACUGAAGACUGAGGAAGACCAUCUCUGUAGGAUGCCAAGGAUUGACUGGAGAAAGUCUGGGGUCCCUCUACCUGGGAUGUGAUUCAGUACCCAAUGGUGGAGCGGUCGUUGAGGAAUGAAGACACAUACAAAGGGUAAAGGAGCAGGUAGGAUUGGGAAACAUCGCUCCUUGAGCAGCUGCAGGCAUAAUGAACUGCCCAUUCCUCUAUUCCUUGU
rnacentral:lncRNA from 1 species